UGACGAACCAUGAUGUCAUUUAUUUGGUGUUGUGGGGAAUCAGGACUGUUACUUUGAAAAAUUAGAGCGUUUAAAGCAGGCUCACGCUUGAAUACAUUAGCAUGGAAUAAUGAAAUAGGACGAUUGAUUCUAUUUUGUUGGUUUCUAGGAUCGACGUAAUGAUUAAUAGGGAUAGUUGGGGGCAUUAGUAUUCAAUUGUCAGAGGUGAAAUUCUUGGAUUUAUUGAAGACUAACUACUGCGAAAGCAUUUGCCAAGGAUGUUUUCAUUAAUCAAGAACGAAAGUUAGGGGAUCGAAGACGAUCAGAUACCGUCGUAGUCUUAACCAUAAACUAUGCCGACUAGGGAUCGGAUGAUGUUAAUUUUUUAAUGACUCAUUCGGCGCCUUACG
rnacentral:rRNA from 1 species